UACAGAUAGAAAAUCUGUUUGUAAUUUAAAAUACUCCGUCGAAAAUAUUAAAUUAAACCUAACCUACCCCCUCUCUCUCCGUGGCAGCCCCCAUUCAAACUCUGUUUCGAGCUCCAUUCAUAAAUGAAACACGAGCUUCUUCCUCUCUCCGUCGCACGAGCUACUUCUUCUCUCCAUGGCUGCUGCUUCUGCUUCUUCCGCCGCUGCUGCUGUCGCCGCCGCUUGCGUCGCACAAUCUCUCUCUGUCAUUCCUUGCGUCGCACGAGAUCCCUCCUCCGCCACUCUCGUCGCGCCUACUCCCAUCGUUGCUGAGCUUUUUUUUCCCCCUCUCAUCGCAUCUUCUUCCUUUGACGCCUCUUCCAUCUAAUAUCAACUCGCUCUCUUAGUUCUUCUCGUUAGCAUCUCAAAUUUUAGGUAUAUAUAUCAUGAUUUUGUGAUUUUGUUCUUCAUGAUAAACCUUAGAGCUCAAUUUUUCUAUGCCAAUUUUAGGUUUAUCAUACUCUGCUUUUGUGAUUCGUUUGAAUAUGUGGGUUUACUCUGAUUUUGAUGAUUUUUUUCUGCAAUCGAAGCUUUUUUUACCUAAAAUUCAUGGUAGGCCAUUGCUUUUGACCGAAGGCUCUUUCACUUAUUAUCAUUUGCUUAGACGAACAUUGAAUCUAUUCUGUUAUGCUCUGUUCAAGUAAUUUCUAAUUCAAUUUGAGCUAUUUGUUUGAUAAUUAUUUACAACUUUCAUUAUACGAAGAAAGAUAGGCACAUCAAGAUUCACACAUCUCGAUCAUAACAUGGAGAUGGAUUUCGAUCAGCAUGGACCUGCUUUCCGCAAACACGGUCAAACCUCUCAGUCUUUUUCUCUUUCCGAUAUCUUCACUCUUAACGAUGGAUCUGUAACGCCUCUACUCAAGCUUGCAAAUCCUCCUGUGAGAGCUAAUGUGUUGUACAUGAGCCCCGAAUUCUCUCUCCCUAUCGCACUUGCAUGAUAUAGAGAAGCUAUCAAAAAUACUUUUAAUCCAUACUUUGAUAAAGGUAAAUUACCUUAACUGGUUUAUUUGUUUAAAGAUAGUUGCUGCACCCUCUUCUCUUUGUUGUUUGUUUUAUUAUUGGCAUUCUAACGUGUGUGUCCAUUAGCAAUCUAGUUUUAGAACUCUACUCUUUACCAUUUUAGCAUGUUUCAUGCCUCCCACCAUAUUCAACCUGUUCCUACCACAAAAGAAGAGAUAGAAGCCGAAGCAUCUUCUGUUCAGGCUAUUGCAAGGACUCUCUGCCCUUUGAAAAUUAUUUUGGAUAGAGUAUUUUUGACUUUAAUUGGGGUGCUUCUUAGUUGCUGGCAGGUUACUUUGCCUAUCAUAAGAGAGUUUUGAUCUGUAGAAAUGUCAUUAAGUUAAUUCUCUUUGAUUUAUGUGUAGGAAAAUCAAGUGACAAAGAGAAAAGAGAAAUCGGUUUCAAUGAAUGCUUUUGAACUCAUUUCAAGAUCACAAAGCUUUAACCUUGACAGCUUCUUUGAGCAGCAAACAUAUAUUUUCAACAAGGCCUCCCUAUAUAUUCAGCAAAAGCUGUCCGAUUCCGAAUAGGCCGUCCAAAAUACCCAACAGAGUUAGAGAGUGCCGAGUGGGCUAUCAUCUUCUCUUUCUUGUUCACAAUUCUCUUUUUAUUUUAAUUGCAUUCAGUAUUAUUGAAAUCCUAUAGAAGUGUCAUGUUCUAUGAUUGCAUUUCGAGUUGAUUAUCCCUAGAAAAUAGCCAAAUAGGUUAACUAGCAUUUCAGCAUUGAGAUUAUUUUUUGUUUUAUUCUUGUCAUCCAAGUUUUUUGUUCUUAAUUAGAGUAACUACUGUAACAUUCUGUGUCACUCUGGCCACCUCACUAGCUGCCCGCCAGGGAUCAAAAUCUAUGGCUGCAUUUCAAGUCUGCCUGCAGAUUUGGCUGGCAGUAUCUCUUCUUGUCGAUGGUCUUGCUGUUGCUGGGCAGAUGAUUUGGUUCUGGGAUUGGCUCUUACAUUCAUUCUUGGUGCAGGACUUCUUUUUGGAGCUAAACUAUUUACAAGAGUUGUUGAUGUCUUCCACCUCAUAAAAAUUGAAAUACUCCAGGUGGAGAUUUUUUCCUGUCUUUUAAUUGCCGUUAAAGGUUUAUGGCUAUCUAUCCAUCAUAUCUUCAACAGUGAGAGGUUUUAAUUCUAUUUCAGUCAGGAGAUGCCAAGAUCAACUUCCAAUGUGGAGCUUAAUGCUGCCAAUGCAACUUGGUUAUCCAUUAAUAUUUUAGAUUAUCCCAUCUUUAAGUACUAAGUGUAAUUUGUGACAUCAGUUAAUGAAGGAGAUCCAUGUAAUAUUGGGAUGGUCAUCUUAUUUUUUUGGGUAUCUUUUUAUUGAGACAGUGAGAUAUUAGCUAAUGAUGUUGAAAAAUAACAUCCAAUUUUAUAGGUAUCAUGUAAUGAAUAUUAUAUUUAUCCAUGUGAUUUUUGGCUUUCUUUUUUCAA